rnacentral:misc_RNA from 1 species
GGGGGGCCUCUGGAGCACAAAGCUUUGACAGGCUUUGCUUUUAGUGAAUAAUUUUGAAGGAAGGUUUUGCCUUCAAUUGUGUUGGCAUAGCCCGAAAUAGGGUCUGUGUGGGUCAGAUGUGGCAGUAGCCAACCAACCAGGUCAUCUUCUACUCCUGUUCGUCUUUGGACCCAAAUUGCUUGUCACGUUAUCCCAUAAGCCGCAUGGUUCAAAACUUAAUUGUCUUGUAAUCUUUGCCCCACGGAGAUACCUAGCCAUCAUUACCUUGGUAGUUCUUCUGUUCAUGUGCACAUAGAUUGAAGCUUAUUAGCAUCCUUCGACUCUGUUCUUGCAAAUAUUUAGCAAUGAUUGCAUUUGAAAUUUAAUCACUUUCAUGAAACCGCAAAAGGGCAGAGUUCAAGCAUAUGUAAUUUAAUCAUUUUUUAUUCCUCUUAAAAAUUCUUAAAAGAAGGAAGUAUUGAAAUCUGAAAUUUUGAGUUAUUUCAUAGUGACAAUCUGUAUUAUAUAUUUAAUUUUUUUCUUCAGUCUGAUUAAAUUCCUUCACUUGUGAUUAUGAAGUACAUGUUAAUAUUUC